rnacentral:rRNA from 1 species
UACGGAGGGAGCUAGCGUUGUUCGGAAUUACUGGGCGUAAAGCGUGCGUAGGCGGUUAUUCAAGUCAGAUGUGAAAGCCCCGGGCUCAACCUGGGAAUUGCAUUUGAGACUGCUCUGCUCGGGUGCGGAAGAGGGAAGCGGAAUUUCCGGUGUAGCGGUGAAAUGCGUAGAUAUCGGAAGGAACACCAGUGGCGAAAGCGGCUUCCUGGUCCUUGACUGACGCUGAGGCGCGAAAGCGUGGGGAGCAAACAGG